AUGAACGCUAGCUACAGGCUUAACACAUGCAAGUCGAGGGGCAGCAUGGUCUUAGCUUGCUAAGGCCGAUGGCGACCGGCGCACGGGUGAGUAACACGUAUCCAACCUGCCGUCUACUCUUGGACAGCCUUCUGAAAGGAAGAUUAAUACAAGAUGGCAUCAUGAGUCCGCAUGUUCACAUGAUUAAAGGUAUUCCGGUAGACGAUGGGGAUGCGUUCCAUUAGAUAGUAGGCGGGGUAACGGCCCACCUAGUCUUCGAUGGAUAGGGGUUCUGAGAGGAAGGUCCCCCACAUUGGAACUGAGACACGGUCCAAACUCCUACGGGAGGCAGCAGUGAGGAAUAUUGGUCAAUGGGCGAGAGCCUGAACCAGCCAAGUAGCGUGAAGGAUGACUGCCCUAUGGGUUGUAAACUUCUUUUAUAAAGGAAUAAAGUCGGGUAUGGAUACCCGUUUGCAUGUACUUUAUGAAUAAGGAUCGGCUAACUCCGUGCCAGCAGCCGCGGUAAUACGGAGGAUCCGAGCGUUAUCCGGAUUUAUUGGGUUUAAAGGGAGCGUAGAUGGAUGUUUAAGUCAGUUGUGAAAGUUUGCGGCUCAACCGUAAAAUUGCAGUUGAUACUGGAUAUCUUGAGUGCAGUUGAGGCAGGCGGAAUUCGUGGUGUAGCGGUGAAAUGCUUAGAUAUCACGAAGAACUCCGAUUGCGAAGGCAGCCUGCUAAGCUGCAACUGACAUUGAGGCUCGAAAGUGUGGGUAUCAAACAGGAUUAGAUACCCUGGUAGUCCACACGGUAAACGAUGAAUACUCGCUGUUUGCGAUAUACUGCAAGCGGCCAAGCGAAAGCGUUAAGUAUUCCACCUGGGGAGUACGCCGGCAACGGUGAAACUCAAAGGAAUUGACGGGGGCCCGCACAAGCGGAGGAACAUGUGGUUUAAUUCGAUGAUACGCGAGGAACCUUACCCGGGCUUAAAUUGCAGAUGAAUUACGGUGAAAGCCGUAAGCCGCAAGGCAUCUGUGAAGGUGCUGCAUGGUUGUCGUCAGCUCGUGCCGUGAGGUGUCGGCUCAAGUGCCAUAACGAGCGCAACCCCUGUCCAUAGUUGCCAUCAGGUCGUGCUGGGCACUCUGUGGAGACUGCCGCCGUAAGGUGUGAGGAAGGUGGGGAUGACGUCAAAUCAGCACGGCCCUUACGUCCGGGGCUACACACGUGUUACAAUGGGGGGUACAGAGGGCCGCUACCACGCGAGUGGAUGCCAAUCCCCAAAACCUCUCUCAGUUCGGACUGGAGUCUGCAACCCGACUCCACGAAGCUGGAUUCGCUAGUAAUCGCGCAUCAGCCACGGCGCGGUGAAUACGUUCCCGGGCCUUGUACACACCGCCCGUCAAGCCAUGGGAGCCGGGGGUACCUGAAGUGCGUAACCGCGAGGAGCGCCCUAGGGUAAAACUGGUGACUGGGGCU
rnacentral:rRNA from 1 species